GAUGAACGCUGGCGGCGUGCCUAAUACAUGCAAGUCGAGCGAACGGACGAGGAGCUUGCUCCUCUGAUGUUAGCGGCGGACGGGUGAGUAACACGUGGAUAACCUACCUAUAAGACUGGGAUAACUUCGGGAAACCGGAGCUAAUACCGGAUAAUAUUUUGAACCGCAUGGUUCAAUAGUGAAAGACGGUCUUACUGUCACUUAUAGAUGGAUCCGCGCUGCAUUAGCUAGUUGGUAAGGUAACGGCUUACCAAGGCAACGAUGCAUAGCCGACCUGAGAGGGUGAUCGGCCACACUGGAACUGAGACACGGUCCAGACUCCUACGGGAGGCAGCAGUAGGGAAUCUUCCGCAAUGGGCGAAAGCCUGACGGAGCAACGCCGCGUGAGUGAUGAAGGUCUUCGGAUCGUAAAACUCUGUUAUUAGGGAAGAACAAAUGUGUAAGUAACUAUGCACAUCUUGACGGUACCUAAUCAGAAAGCCACGGCUAACUACGUG
rnacentral:rRNA from 1 species